GGAUAGUUUUCAUAUACAUUUCUCCUCCUGCAUUUACUUAAACUGCCAGUCUUAGAGCCUUAAAUAAGAUGCACUCAGCUGAAAAUUGUCCUUCACUGAGGAGACACGCUGUUCCUACUGAGGGAGAUAAUCCAGCAUUGUAUAUUUUUGUGCACAGAGGAAAGCAAGAUACUCAUCAGAGACUCAGCUAUUCCUCCAUUCCGAAGCAUCCCAGAGGAAUUUCUGAAGGCAGGAGGGAAUCCUGAGAGACAGAUAAGCAGAACAGAAGAAGACUUCUGUGGACAGAUUCAGGAAGAAGGAGGAUCCUUCCAGCUAUCCUGCAAGAGACUCCCCUAUGCUGCAUUGAGAAUAAUACUCAGGUAUAAAUUUCUUUUUUUUUUUUUUUUUUUUUUUUUGAGACAGAGUCUCACUCUGUCACCCAGGCUGGAGUGCAGUGGCACAAUCUCGGCUCACUGCAACCUCUGCCUCCCAGGUUCAAGCGAUUCUUCUGCCUCAGCCUCCCGAUUAGCUGAGACUACAGGCGCCUGCCACCACACCUUGCUAAUUUUUGUAUUUUUAGUAGAGACAGAGUUUCACCAUGUUGGCGAGGCUAGUCUCAAACUCCUGAUCUCAAGUGAUCUGCCCACCUCGGUCUCCCAAAGUGCUGGGAUUACAGGCAUGAGCCACUGCGCCCGGCCUCAGGUGUAAAUUUCUAAACUCUAGUCAUGGGAGGAAACAAUGAUGUUGAUUUGUUUUGCCUCUCUCAUCCCACUGCUACCGUCUUCCGUGAACUUAUUUCCUGUUGAUUCUAACUCUCCCAAGUCACUGAAAAA
rnacentral:lncRNA from 1 species